rnacentral:rRNA from 1 species
UACAGAGGGGGCAAGCGUUAAUCGGAAUUACUGGGCGUAAAGCGCACGUAGGCGGCUAUGUAAGUCAGGUGUGAAAUCCCCGGGCUCAACCUGGGAACUGCACUUGGGACUGCAUGGCUAGAGUAUGGGAGAGGAAGGCGGAAUUCCCGGUGUAGCGGUGAAAUGCGUAGAUAUCGGGAGGAACAUCAGUGGCGAAGGCGGCCUUCUGGCCCAAUACUGACGCUCAGGUGCGAAAGCGCGGGGAGCAAACAGG